UAUGUGAUCGUCUCUCGCAUAUCAAUAAGCGGAGGAAAAGAAACUAACAAGGAUUCCCCUAGUAACGGCGAGUGAAGCGGGAAGGAGCUCAAAUUUGAAAUCUUAAAGGGUUUCCCUUUACGAAUUGUAGUUUAAAGAAGUGUUUUCUGUUGAGGUUUUGGUAAAAGUUCUUUGGAAUAGGACAUCAUAGAGGGUGAGAAUCCCGUAUUUGACCUUUACUUUCAACUUUGUGAUACACUUUCAAAGAGUCGGAUUGUUUGGGAAUGCAGUCCAAAAUGGGUGGUAAAUUUCAUCUAAAGCUAAAUAUUGGCGAGAGACCGAUAGCGAACAAGUACCGUGAGGGAAAGAUGAAAAGAACUUUGAAAAGAGAGUUAAACAGUACGUGAAAUUGUCAAAAGGGAAGCGUUUGACACCAGUGUUGUUUUUCUGAAAAUCCAAUUAAAGGAACUGUUUAUGCUAAGCUGUUUAGACUUUAUCAGCUAUCUGUUUAGUUUUGAGCUUUUCUUUAAUGCACUUUUCAGUUAACAAGUCAACAUCAAUUUCUUUUGCUGUAAAAAAGCUUGAGGAAGGUGGCUUGAGAUUCGUCUUAAGUGUUUAUAGCCUCUUGCCUAUGCAGUCGGAGAGAUUGAGGUCUGCAGCGUAGAUCCUUCGGGGCUAAAUGCAUUUGUGCUAAGUUAUAAGCAUUUUAUAGACAACUUGUUGACUAUGAUUUGUCUUGUAGCUUACUCGCUUAUGUUAUUUUACCUACGCUUAGGAUGUUGAUCUACAGAGCGAGAGU
rnacentral:rRNA from 1 species